rnacentral:rRNA from 1 species
UUCGGUUCGGAAUAACUCAGGGAAACUUGAGCUAAUACCGGAUACGCCCUUUUGGGGAAAGGUUUACUGCCGAAGGAUCGGCCCGCGUCUGAUUAGCUAGUUGGUGAGGUUAUGGCUCACCAAGGCGACGAUCAGUAGCUGGUCCGAGAGGAUGAUCAGCCACACUGGGACUGAGACACGGCCCAGACUCCUACGGGAGGCAGCAGUGGGGAAUAUUGGACAAUGGGCGAAAGCCUGAUCCAGCCAUGCCGCGUGAGUGAUGAAGGCCUUAGGGUUGUAAAGCUCUUUUCUCCGGGACGAUAAUGACGGUACCGGAGGAAUAAGCCCCGGCUAACUUCGUGCCAGCAGCCGCGGUAAU